rnacentral:misc_RNA from 1 species
CACACACACACAACUAUGCUUGCAAAAGAGGAAAUGUAUUGGACUUGUUAAGCCUUUAUCUUGACAACAACAUGCAAGAGCUCAAUUGGGUAAUGUGGAGAACAUGUUUAUAUCUUCAAGAAAGGAAAAAUGGAUGAUCUUCUAACACCAAAGCUUGCAUAUUUGGCAACGUCCUAGCCAAAACAGAUUGAAGAAGAAAGAAAGAUCAUGUGAUUAUUCUGGAGAUGAGCAUUUUACAGUAUGUUUGUCCAUGAUCUGCGCAACUUAAAGGCAUUAGUCCGCAACACUUAUGGCAUAGAAAGUGAGCAUUGAUCUAGCCUAAUGCAAACAAUUUAAGUAUUUUGAUUCUAUCAUCCAAAAGAAUAGAGUAGCAGAUAAGGAUGUAACUCAUAAGACCAAAAUAGGAUGGAUAAAAUGGAAGAGUGCAAUGAGUGUGCCAUGUGACCUUAAGAUUCUUGACAAAGUGAAAGAUAAAUUCUAUAAAAUGUUGGUCAGGCCAGCUUUGUUGUAUGAGGGUGAAUGUUAGCAUCUAAGAUACAAUAUACCCACAAAAUGAGUGUAGUAGAAAUGCGAAUGUUAAGAUGGAUGUCUAGUAACAAGAUAAUAAAUAAGAUUAGGGAUGACAACAUUUGUCAGAAAAUGCAUGUAGCACAUAUUGGAGA